rnacentral:lncRNA from 1 species
UAAAACCCCAGCUCUUUCACUCCUUGGGUGCCAUAACUCUGGGGUGAAAGGCAGGGCGUCUUCCAAACCAUUUCCCGGAGUCCCCAGCAGGAUUAAGCACCAAUUACUCACAGAGGUUUUUGAAAUGUUCACCAAGCUGGAAUCCCAGAUUGCCAAUCUAGGACAUGACUUGAUGUGGACACAUCCUGAACUCUGUCCUCCUAUGAAAUGAAACGUGUAAACGAACUCACAUUCAGGGUCUGCCUGUCCCUCAUGUUCAGGCAGAGCAGAAAACAUUCAUAGACUGCUGCUGACCACAGAUGAAGUCCCCCAAGAAAAAAAUAAAUCAACUGAGGUUAGUGCUCCAUCAUUCAGCCUCGUGACACUUGUGGACUGACAAAUUGUGAACCAGAAAUGUCAUCCAAACCUGAGUCUCAGUGAAGCCUAUGAGUCUUUAAUCAGUGAGAUGUGGAUUUCCAGUUGCUUUUAUCAGUAGUCAUGAUGAAUUGGUACUGCCCCAGCCAUACUUCUUAGUGUCAUCCAAGUAGUCGGAGAAACGAGUUAGUAUAGCUGAAUAGACUGGCGUGUGAGGGGAUCCCAUGGGUGACUUUGGUCCCUGGGGGCUCAGCUCCUCCACCUAAGCCAGUAACUGAACUCUGGCAGCCAUUCUUGGCUGUUUGCUGUGAAAGGCAUUUGACUCAGCUCCAUCCCUCUCUUCCUUGCCCCUCUUCUUAUUUUCUAGGCCUCCUCACUCCUCCUCCCCUUCCCCCAGCCCGUCUGGGCUUUCUGGUGCACGGGCAGCCCAAGUACUGUUCCAAUCUUCAUAACCUUCAAGACUGACCCAAAGUUACUAGUAGAAAAAUCAGCAAAGAUCCUAAAUAGCUCCGAAUAUUAGAAACUAAUUUCUGCACAUUAGAUAGUUGAUAGUAUGCAGGGUAUUCCUGAAAUCUCCUGAGCACAUCCACAAGGCCAAACCUGAGGCAGCAUUUCCAUGCCUCUUGUAGAACAGAAGAACAGACACUCUCCAAGGCCAAGAGACACCACAGCACCUGAGCAAUGGGCUUUAUUUAAAAAUAUUUUCCCAGCGGGGCUGGCCCCGUGGCUGAGUGGUUAAGUUCGCGCGCUCCGCUGCAGGCGG